rnacentral:lncRNA from 1 species
GAGAUGGCACGGGACGGAAACAAGCAGAAGGAGGUUCAAGAAGGGUUGAAGUAGCGAGGAUGAGAUGCACACAUGCAUGGCAUUGACAAAGGACAGGCUGAUUUAAUUAAAAAGAAGGGGAUGGUGCACGCACCAGUCCGCUAUCCACAGCUGUGACAAAAGACCUGAAGAAGUCAAGGCAUGAAGUUGGCAGUUCUGAAGGAGAAGAUUCGUGUAGAACGGCUGAGGAUACAAAGAUGGUGGAGGCAUCGCCUCUGACCUGAGGAGUUCGUGGUACAUGCUAGCAGAAGCCCAGGCAGCCAGGAAGAGCUCAUCAGUUAAGGAGUUAGAGGUCCGCUCUGCAGGAAGUGGGAAGCCCUGAGGAGUCUGGGCAGGAGAGACCAUUGCCAGCAGAUGUCCACUCUGCCUGGCAGUGGCUUGGAGUCCACGGCAGUGAGAUCUACAGUCGAUAGAUUCUGACUUCAGAGAAAGGCUCAACUUGAACUGUUCUUGCCUGGACAAAUUUCCUGUGGCCUUGAGCCUCCCAAUAGAUGCUUCUCUGAGAGGAUCUGGAGCUGGGAAACGUUGGAUAUUUUUAAAUCAUGGUGCGAACUGGGCAAGUUGGCUGGAUCUGACUGAAGCCUCCCAAACCCAGGAGGAAAAGAAGGAAGGGAAGCCAAGCAGGAAGUGAGGCAGAGGCCAUGGAAGGACGCAUGCUGCUUACUGGCUGGCCUCCCCCGGUGACCUGCCUUCCUUAAGUGGGGAUAGCACUUUCAAUAGUGGGCUGGUCCCUCCCUUACCAAUUAGCAGUUAAGAAAAUGAAUGCCCCACAGACAUGUCCACAGGCUACUCUGAUGGGGGUGACUCCUCAGUUGAGAUCUCCUCUUCCCAAGUGGGUCUAGGUUUGUGUUGAACUGAGCAAACCAUGACAAGGCAGAACUCCACUCUACUUAUUUACCCACAGGAAGGGAAAGCAGACUGCCA